UACGUAGGGGGCAAGCGUUGUCCGGAAUCAUUGGGCGUAAAGCGCGUGUAGGCGGUUCGGUAAGUCUGCUGUGAAAGUCCAGGGCUCAACCCUGGGAUGCCGGUGGAUACUGUCGGACUAGAGUACGGAAGAGGCGAGUGGAAUUCCCGGUGUAGCGGUGAAAUGCGCAGAUAUCGGGAGGAACAUCAGUGGCGAAAGCGGCGCGCUGGACCACUACUGACGCUGAGGAACGAAAGCUAGGGGAGCAAACAGG
rnacentral:rRNA from 1 species